UUUAUUGGAGAGUUUGAUCCUGGCUCAGGAUGAACGCUGGCGGCGUGCCUAAUACAUGCAAGUCGAGCGAAUGAAUUAAGAGCUUGCUCUUAUGAAGUUAGCGGCGGACGGGUGAGUAACACGUGGGUAACCUGCCCAUAAGACUGGGAUAACUCCGGGAAACCGGGGCUAAUACCGGAUAACAUUUUGAACCGCAUGGUUCGAAAUUGAAAGGCGGCUUCGGCUGUCACUUAUGGAUGGACCCGCGUCGCAUUAGCUAGUUGGUGAGGUAACGGCUCACCAAGGCAACGAUGCGUAGCCGACCUGAGAGGGUGAUCGGCCACACUGGGACUGAGACACGGCCCAGACUCCUACGGGAGGCAGCAGUAGGGAAUCUUCCGCAAUGGACGAAAGUCUGACGGAGCAACGCCGCGUGAGUGAUGAAGGCUUUCGGGUCGUAAAACUCUGUUGUUAGGGAAGAACAAGUGCUAGUUGAAUAAGCUGGCACCUUGACGGUACCUAACCAGAAAGCCACGGCUAACUACGUGCCAGCAGCCGCGGUAAUACGUAGGUGGCAAGCGUUAUCCGGAAUUAUUGGGCGUAAAGCGCGCGCAGGUGGUUUCUUAAGUCUGAUGUGAAAGCCCACGGCUCAACCGUGGAGG
rnacentral:rRNA from 1 species